rfam:Callipepla squamata strain Texas jcf7180005233831, whole genome shotgun sequence.
UGCUGUGAUGAUGUAAUUUGCGUCUUAGCAGUGUUCAGCGGCAGUUGCCUGCUGCCGUUGUGCUGGCACUGUCGAGCUGAAGACACCUUUAAUUCUGAGCA